rnacentral:rRNA from 9 species
AAAUUGAAGAGUUUGAUCAUGGCUCAGAUUGAACGCUGGCGGCAGGCCUAACACAUGCAAGUCGAACGGUAACAGGAAGCAGCUUGCUGCUUUGCUGACGAGUGGCGGACGGGUGAGUAAUGUCUGGGAAACUGCCUGAUGGAGGGGGAUAACUACUGGAAACGGUGGCUAAUACCGCAUAACGUCGCAAGACCAAAGAGGGGGACCUUCGGGCCUCUUGCCAUCAGAUGUGCCCAGAUGGGAUUAGCUUGUUGGUGAGGUAACGGCUCACCAAGGCGACGAUCCCUAGCUGGUCUGAGAGGAUGACCAGCCACACUGGAACUGAGACACGGUCCAGACUCCUACGGGAGGCAGCAGUGGGGAAUAUUGCACAAUGGGCGCAAGCCUGAUGCAGCCAUGCCGCGUGUAUGAAGAAGGCCUUCGGGUUGUAAAGUACUUUCAGCGGGGAGGAAGGUGUUGUGGUUAAUAACCGCAGCAAUUGACGUUACCCGCAGAAGAAGCACCGGCUAACUCCGUGCCAGCAGCCGCGGUAAUACGGAGGGUGCAAGCGUUAAUCGGAAUUACUGGGCGUAAAGCGCACGCAGGCGGUCUGUCAAGUCGGAUGUGAAAUCCCCGGGCUCAACCUGGGAACUGCAUUCGAAACUGGCAGGCUUGAGUCUUGUAGAGGGGGGUAGAAUUCCAGGUGUAGCGGUGAAAUGCGUAGAGAUCUGGAGGAAUACCGGUGGCGAAGGCGGCCCCCUGGACAAAGACUGACGCUCAGGUGCGAAAGCGUGGGGAGCAAACAGGAUUAGAUACCCUGGUAGUCCACGCCGUAAACGAUGUCUACUUGGAGGUUGUGCCCUUGAGGCGUGGCUUCCGGAGCUAACGCGUUAAGUAGACCGCCUGGGGAGUACGGCCGCAAGGUUAAAACUCAAAUGAAUUGACGGGGGCCCGCACAAGCGGUGGAGCAUGUGGUUUAAUUCGAUGCAACGCGAAGAACCUUACCUGGUCUUGACAUCCACAGAACUUUCCAGAGAUGGACUGGUGCCUUCGGGAACUGUGAGACAGGUGCUGCAUGGCUGUCGUCAGCUCGUGUUGUGAAAUGUUGGGUUAAGUCCCGCAACGAGCGCAACCCUUAUCCUUUGUUGCCAGCG